rnacentral:miRNA from 1 species
UUGGUUAUCUAGCUGUAUGAGUGUUUUGGUCUUCAUAAAGCUAGAUAACCGAAAGUAAAAACUCCUUCAAG